GGUCAAGCUACUAAGGGCGUAUGGGGGAUGCCUAGGCGCCAGUAGGCGAUGAAGGGCGUGGAAGGCUGCGAUAAGCCCGGGGAAGCCGUCAAGCAGGCUUUGAUCCCGGGAUUCCCGAAUGAUCGUGUACCCAAUCCAUAAGUACACGAGGCCAACGCGGUCAACUGAAACAUCUAAGUAGCCGCAGGAAAAGAAAGAAAUCUCGACUUCCCAAGUAGCGGCGAGCGAAAAGGAACAAGCCCAAACCGGACGGCUUCGGCCGACCGGGGUUGUGGGGCCGUCGUCAUGAGUAAAAAAUCGAAUUGCCAGCAGAAUCUGGUUGAAACCAGAUCCAUAGAGGGUGUCAGGCCCGUAUGCGGAAGCGAAUCGACUCUAGACGGUACCCGAGUAAAACCAGUCACGUGGAACCUGGUUUGAAUCAGGGAGGUCCAUCUCCCAAGGCUAAGUACUCACUGGCGACCGAUAGCGCACAAGUAGCGCGAGCGAAAGGUGGGAAGAACCCCUGUUAGGGGAGGAAACUGAACCUGAAACCAUACGCCUACAAGCGGUCGGAGCCCUAUGUCGCAAGACAGGGUGACGGCGUGCCUUUUGCAUAAUGAUCCGACGACUUACCGUCAACGGCAAGGUUAAGGCUUUACGGGCCGUAGCCAAAGGGAAACCAAGUCUGAACAGGGCGACAAUGUCGGUGGCGGUAGACGCGAAACCCGGUGAUCUACCCAUGGGCAGGUUGAAGCGCGGGUAAGACUGCGUGGAGGACCGAACUCACUAGUAUUGAAAAACUAGGGGAUGACCUGUGGGGAGGAGUAAAAGUCUAAUCAAACCGGGAGAUAGCUCGUUCUCUCCGAAAUAGCUUUAGGGCUAGCCUUGAGUCACUACGUCAUGGGGGUAGAGAUACUGAAUCUGCUUGGAGGCCUACCCGGCUAUCCUGCGGAGCCAAACUCCGAAUACCAUGACGACUAACUCGGGAGACAGACCCUGAGGGAUAAGCUUCAGGGUCGAGAGGGAAACAACCCAGAUCGCCUGCUAAGGCCCCCAAGUUCGGCCUAGUCAAAAAGGAUGUCAAGAUACGGAGACAGCCAGGAUGUUGGCUUAGAAGCAGCCACCAUUUAAAAAGUGCGUAAUAGCUUACCGGUCGAGUAUUCUGGCACCAAUAAUGAACGGGAGUAAGCAAAUUACCGAAGCAGCGGGCUCGCAAGAGCGGUAGGAGAGCGUUCCAGAACAGACACGAGCCGUACCGGAAGGAGCGGUGGAGGGUUCUGGAAGUGAUUAUGUCGGAAUGAGUAACGAUUAGGCAGGUGAGAAUCCUGCCCGCCGAAUGCCUAAGGUUUCCUGGGGAAGGUAAAUCCGCCCAGGGUUAGCCGGUCCCUUAGUCGAGGCCGAAAGGCGUAGACGAUGGAGAGCAGGUUAAUAUUCCUGCGCCGCUCAUGGAUACUGACGGGAGGACGUUGUGUGGAUGGUGAUCGGGCUGCUAGAACAGCUCGUGGGGCAACCCCGAGUGCGUUUACGAUCACGAAGUCAUCUGAAGCACAAUCAAGAAAAGACCCCGAAGGGUUUGAAUCCAUGGCGACCGUACUAAAACUGACACAGGUAGGCGAGGCGAGUAGCCUCAGGCGCUCGGGAGAACGCUGGUUAAGGAACUCUGCAAAUUGACCCCGUAACUUCGGGAGAAGGGGUGCCCUUGGGUGUGCAAGCAUCCGGGGGUCACAGUAAAUCGGCUCUAGCGACUGUUUACUAAAAACACAGGACUCUGCGAACUCGUGAGAGGAAGUAUAGAGUCUGACGCCUGCUCGGUGUCGGUAGGUUAAGGAAGAGGGUCAGGGCCGCAAGGCCUGAAGCUCGCAACCGAAGCCCCGAUAAACGGCGGCCGUAACUAUGACGGUCCUAAGGUAGCGAAGUUCCUUGUCGGGUAAGUUCCGACCUGCAUGAAUGGCGUAACGACUGGAGCACUGUCUCAACCAGCGACCCGGUGAAAUUGUAGUCGCGGUGAAGAUGCCGUGUACCCGCAGCUAGACGGAAAGACCCCAUGAACCUUCACUGUAGGCUGAUAUUGGGUUUAGGUAGUUUCUGUGUAGGA
rnacentral:rRNA from 1 species